rnacentral:rRNA from 1 species
AGUAAUGUAUAGGAACUUGCCUAGUAGUGGGGGAUAACGUGUGGAAACGCACGCUAAUACCGCAUACGCUCUACGGAGGAAAGCGGGGGAUCUUCGGACCUCGUGCUACUAGAUGGGCCUAUAUCAGAUUAGCUAGUUGGUAAGGUAAUGGCUUACCAAGGCGACGAUCUGUAGCUGGUUUGAGAGAAUGAUCAGCCACACUGGGACUGAGACACGGCCCAG